rnacentral:misc_RNA from 1 species
GAUGAAGAACGUAGCGAAAUGCGAUAAGUAAUGUGAAUUGCAGAAUUCAGUGAAUCAUCGAAUCUUUGAACGCACAUUGCGCCCGUCAGUAUUCUGGCGGGCAUGCCUGUUCGAGCGUCAUUACGCCCCUCAAGUCCCCUGUGGACUUGGUGUUGGGGAUCGGCGAGGCUGGUUUUCCAGCACAGCCGUCCCUUAAAUUAAUUGGCGGUCUCGCCGUGGCCCUCCUCUGCGCAGUAGUAAAACACUCGCAACAGGAGCCCGGCGCGGUCCACUGCCGUAAAACCCCCCAACUUUUUAUAGUUGACCUCGAAUCAGGUAGGACUACCCGCUGAACUUAAGCAUAUCAAUAAGCGUAGGA